rnacentral:lncRNA from 1 species
UCAUGCCAUAGGGAGAGAUUGGUGAUUUAUUUCGCUUUAUUUUAGUGGUCGUGGGAUGGAAGUGUCUGUCUAAAGAAAUCGUGGCAGGAUUACGUUUGCGUGUAUGGAAUUAAGGGAUGGUCAACCAUGGUAUUGGUGGGCUGGAUCAUUGCUAAUCUUUGUAAUAUGGAAUAUUCUGGAGUAUAGUGGACAGAGGAAAAAAAAAGGGGCGAAUGUUUGUGUCCACUCCAAGCUGGC